AAUACGGGGGAUGCAAGCGUUAUCCGGAAUCAUUGGGCGUAAAGCGCCUGUAGGUUGUUUAAUAAGUCUGUUGUUAAAGACUAGGGCUCAACCCUAGGAAAGCAAUGGAAACUACUAGACUUGAGUAUGAUAGGGGUAGAGGGAAUUUCUAGUGUAGCGGUGAAAUGCGUAGAUAUUAGGAAGAACACCGGUGGCGAAGGCGCUCUACUGGAUCAUUACUGACACUCAGAGGCGAAAGCUAGGGUAGCAAAAGGGAUUAGAUACCCCUGUAGUCCUAGCCGUAAACGAUGGAUACUAGAUGUUGCGUUUAUUAUGCAGUAUCGUAGCUAACGCGUUAAGUAUCCCGCCUGGGGAGUACGCUCGCAAGGGUGAAACUCAAAGGAAUUGACGGGGGCCCGCACAAGCGGUGGAGCAUGUGGUUUAAUUCGAUGCAACGCGAAGAACCUUACCAAGGCUUGACAUACUACAAAUUUCUUUGAAAGAGGAAAGUGCCUUCGGGAAUGUAGAUACAGGUGGUGCAUGGCUGUCGUCAGCUCGUGUCGUGAGAUGUUGGGUUAAGUCCCGCAACGAGCGCAACCCUUAUUUUUAGUUGCUAAUUUAUUAGGUUUUCUAGAAAGACUGCCGGUGACAAACCGGAGGAAGGUGAGGAUGACGUCAAGUCAGCAUGCCCCUUAUGCCUUGGGCUACACACGUGCUACAAUGGUUAAGACAAAGAGUUGCGAGCUCGCGAGAGUCAGCUAAUCUCAUAAACUUAGCCUAAGUUCGGAUUGUAGGCUGCAACUCGCCUACAUGAAGUCGGAAUCGCUAGUAAUCGCUGGUCAGCCAUACAGCGGUGAAUCCGUUCCCGGGCCUUGUACACACCGCCCGUCACACCAUGGGAGCUGGUCAUGCCCGAAACCGUUUGCUUAACCUUUCGGAGAGCGGCGUCUAAGGUAGGGCUAGU
rnacentral:rRNA from 1 species